rnacentral:lncRNA from 1 species
ACCGUUCCAAAUCUGUUUGACGGCGACGACGCCACGGUCGCCGAGGUCGAUCUUGAAGACCUUGCCGGCCCCACCGCCGCCGACCACGUUGUCAUCCCUGAUGCCACGUAGGAUGCUGGACUCCGUAAUAUCCAACGACUGGAAAGAGGUCAGCUUCCACGUGGCGAGAUCGCCACCGUUCCUUUUCUUCUUGAGGUCCCCGUAUACAAAGGUGGCGAACGCCAACGCCAUCAAGAACACGACCGCGCCGAGGACGAAGAAGAGGAUGCGGAGGCCACGAGCAAGCCCACCCGAUCCAGACCGGCAGGUGCUGACGUUGACGUACGACUUGGAGGCGCAAAGGCCGGGAUUCGAUACGAAGCUUUGGUCGUAAGCCCGACUCUGCAGCGCUGCCGGAAUCUCGCCGGUGAGCUGGUUGGACGAAAGGUUUAAAUAGUUGAGCUUCAAGUUUCCCAUCUCCGACGGGAUUGGACCGGAGAGAUGGUUCGCCGACAGGUCGAGAGAGUUCAGCACUGGCAGCGACCCGAUCGACGCCGGAAUUUCGCCGGUCAGCCGGUUAUGCCGCAGAUCGAGAUCACUUAGCGACUUCAGCAACGAUAUAUCAUCCGGAAUUUUUCCGGUGAUCAUAUUGCCUCCCAGAACCAGAGUCUGGAGGCGUAAGAGUCCGGCUAGGCUCGAUGGGAGCUCGCCGGAGAACAUGUUGUUGCUCCCCAAUAACACUUGUAAGCGAUCAGCUGAGGACGGAAUGCUUCCGGUGAAACGAUUGUUUUCGAUUUCCAAUCGUGUCAGAUUCCACGGGAGCUUUUCCGGAAGCGUGCCGGAGAGGGUGUUGUUACUCACCAUCACGGUUGUCAAAUACAUGGCGGACCAAAUCCCAUCGGGCAGCUCACCGGAGAACCGGUUGUUGUGGAUCUGGAAAUCGUUGAGCUUCGAACACUUUCCGAGCGACGGCGGAAUCCUUCCCGUGAGGUUGUUGUUGAAGACUACGAUGGAAUUGAAGGCGCCACGGUCGCAUAGCCCGUCCGGUAACUCGCCGGAGAUCAUGUUGUCGUCGACCUCAAUGUCUAUCAAAGGAGAGUUCUUGCCCAAUUCUGGCGGUAAGACGCCGGUUAAGCCGUUGCUAAAUAGUCGGAGAGUGGACAAAGACGGAAGCUUGCCGAUGCUCGUCGGUAUCUCGCCGGAUAACCUGUUGUAGUACAAGUAGAGAAGAGAGAGUUUCUUGAGCUUGCCGAAGUCGUGUGGGAUCGAUCCAGUGAGCUGAUUCAUCGAAAGAUCUAUCUCUACCAGGCCCAGAGCUCCGAUCGUCCCGUCGAUGAUGAUGGAAUCGGAUAAGUUGUUCUUGUACAGGUACAAGUAUUGCAGAUUCGGUAGGCCCCAGAUUCCAGCGGGAAUCGCUCCGGUGAGCGAGUUUUGCGACAAGUCCAGCUGAGUCAACCCUUUGAGCUGCGCGAACGAGGCCGGUAUCUCGCCUUGGAGAUUGGCACUGGUCAUCCACAGGAUGGUCAGCUUAGUCAAGUUGGCGAACUCCGAUGGAAUCCUCAUUGGAGCAAAGGAGUUGUAUGCCAGCCCAAGCUGUUGGAGGCGGGACAGGUUGCCGAUCUCGGCGGGGAAGCUUCCAUCGAAAAGAUUGCUGUUGAGCACCAGUUCCUGGACCGCGGUGAUCCGGCCGAUGGAGGGAGGGAUGUCGCCGGAGAAGUUGUUGUAGGAGAGGUCGAGGUGUGUGAUCAGCGGGGAGAGGCGGUCGACGUCGGUGGGAAUCGCGCCGACGAAGCGGUUCUGGGAGAGGUCGAGGUACCGGAGGCUGGAGCAGUUGUAAAGGGAGGUGGGGAAGGGGCCGGGGAUGUUGUUGUAGCUGACAUCGAGGCGGGUGAGGUUCUUGAGGCCGCAGAGUGAGGCGGGGAUCGGCCGGGAGAUCUUUGGCGCGUCCUGCCCGGAGAGCGUGAUGUUGACGACGGAGCCAUCGUCGGCGCAGCCCACGCCCGGCCAGUCGCAGUAGGAGAAGGAGGAGGAGGUGUUGGUGGUGUCGACGUUCCACGAGUCCAGAGCGGGUUCGCCUCCCCACUCUCGCUUGAUCCGCAGGAGGAUCUGCUGCUGUUCGUUGUUCCAUGGUGUUUUCGAUGCAACCACGGGAGCGAAGUAGAGGAAUAGAGAGACGAGGGUGAGAGAGGUCCCACGCCGGACUUUUGCUCCCAUCCCCUUCUUUAUGUGUUUUCCCAAAAGAUGAGAACUUAAAUUAAACUGAAACACAACCUCAUUUCUGGCCUUCCAGCUUAACCAGAACACAUAUAUAAUCAUCAAUCAUAGCUCUCAGAACACAUUGGUUGACGCCAACAUCUUCCCUAAGUCAGUCCCCCUACAGCCAAGAAUCCAUAAAAGUUAGAUUCAAAUAAGGAUCAUACCUCUUUAAUAAAAGUGAUAAAAAUAAUAGAAGAUAAGAAUAAUUAUUGAAAAAUUUCCUAAUAUAGUUGAGGAAAUCUUAUCUUCUAUCAUGUCUGUCCUCGCAAAAUGAUGCUUCAGUCAAGGAUAUCAAUCUUGGAUCGAUGUAAAUAAUGAUUUACGAAUGAGAGGCUUCGUAAAUAGAGCAAGAGCAUAUCGCUGCUGUUGUUACGAUUGUUGUUGUUGUGAGGGCAUAGGCGUUCCUUUCGUUCUUCUUAAGUCCGUCGACUAUUGAUAGAUCAACAAAGACUAUCGCGGUAAAAAAUAUGAGGAUUGAUCGUGGAGUCUCUUAGGAAUUUGACUACAGCGGCGUUGGGUUUUAUUUUUCUCAGCGACGUUACUGGUCGAAAGAUACCAUGAUAAAAAUAAUAGAAGAUAAGAAUAAUUAUUGAAGAAGUUUUAUUGAAGAAGCUUUAUAACUUUAGCUUAAAUACAUUAAGCUGCCAUUCUCCUAUUUAUACACAUAGUUGAGAAAAUCUUAUUUUCUAUCAAGAACAUUGAAAAUAGUAUGAAAGUUUCCAUAAUACUAGCACGAGUGAAAGUUUAAAACGGGUAGAUGGUAAAGCAAUAACUUCCAGCAAAAGCAAAGAACAUAGAAAAUAGUAUGAAAGUUUCCAUAAUAUUUUCCGAUCAAUAAUAGAUGUGGGGGAAUAGCCAACGACCGAGAGCUCAAGAAGCAUAAGGUGAACUAGUUAACGAUUGUGACUUGAAAUCGAAAUCCUACAUAUCCAGAGACGUAGGUAUAAAAGUCAAUAGCCGAAGGUUGGCUAGCUAAAACAUUAUGACUUGGUCUACAUGGGUGGCUACACAUGUGGCUGACAUGACGCAAGUAGAUACACAAGAAGACUGCGGACUUCGCUUCAAGGACUCUCACUUGUCACGGCCUCAUUUAUUUCCCGCACCCCCAAUUUGACCAACCUCGCCUCGUGCAUGAGACUGGAGAGAAAAAGGAUACCUAAGAAAAGUCAUUGUGUUGUUGUUACCUUACUCAAAAGCUUUCAUCACUAAAGAUGGAGACCUUAUGGGCUCAUUGUUGCAAUUGGUGAGUAUUUUUAAUUCUUAUUCAUCCCUAAAUAAAUUAUAUAUUGGAUACGAUUUGAUGCUCCAAUGUACGUUCCCUUCUGACCAUCGACCUUCUUCUACUCUGCUCUCUCCCCUCAAACAUUGCAUGCCAUGAUGUGGUCGUCGUGGUCGCCGCCAUGAGAUGGCUUCUGUCGUCGACUACCCGUGUUUGCUCGUAUGAGCGGCGCCGCCACGUCUUGUUCCGCAAUGGGACUGUAACCGACUCCAGGAGGCCGAUGGCACCGCAGCAAGAUAUGCAGCACCUCCUUCAUGGAAGGCCUCCUCGAAGGCAACGUCUCCGUGCAGAGGAGACCCAACUUAAACACCGUCGUCAUGUCGUCCAUGUAGGGGGAGUCCCUUAUGGCCGUGUCUAUAGCAUCGCUCAGCUCUGCCUCCUCUCGAAGCUGUUGCCACGCCCACUCUGCCAGGUUGCAUUGCUCGCCGUCAUUGUUUGCCUCUCUUCCGGUGGUCAGCUCCAGAAGAACCACCCCGAAGCUGUACACAUCCACCUUCUCGUUCAGCCUUCUGGAAUACCCACACUCUGUGUACGGAAAACCCAGCGAUCAGCAGUCUCGCACAGUAAUGGUGGUAAAUCGUGAUGCCAUCCUCACCUGGAGCGAUGUAGCCGAAGGACCCGGCAAUGACGGACACCGUGUCGGGUUCGCCGGGCUUGACCAGCAUCCGAGCCAGGCCGAAGUCGGCGACCCGAGCGUUGAACUCGGAAUCCAGCAGGAUGUUGCUGGACUUCACGUCCCGGUGUAUGAUCGGCGGCGAGCAGUCGUGGUGCAUGUAGCACAACCCCCGGGCCGCCCCCACAGCGAUCUCCAGCCUCGUGGGCCAAUCGAGCUGCUCGUCCCGCGAUCGGUCUUCGCCGCCGAACCAUGCCCGCUUCCUGUGCAGCCACCGGUCGAGGCUCCCGUUCUCCAUAUACUCGUACACCAGAAGCUUGGUGUCGGCGCCGGAGAUGCAGCAGAGCAGCUUGACGAUGUUCUUGUGCCUGAUGGAUCCCAGGAUCUGCACCUCCGACUGGAAUUGCUUCUCCAGCCUGCUGUCGAGAUUCCUACCGUUCCAAAUCUUUUUGACGGCGACGACGCCACGGUCGCCGAGGUCGAUCUUGAAGACCUUGCCGGCCCCACCGCCGCCGACCACGUUGUCAUCCCUGAUGCCACGUAGGAUGCUGGACUCCGAAAUAUCCAACGACUGGAAAGAGGUCAGCUUCCACGCGGCGAGAUCUCCACCGUUCCUUUUCUUCUUGAGGUCCCCGUAUACAAAGGUAGCGAACGCCAACGCCAUCAAGAACACGACCGCGCCGAGGACGAAGAAGAGGAUGCGGAGGCCACGAGCGAGUCCACCCGAUCCAGACCGGCAGGUGCUGACGUUGACGUACGCCUUGGAGGCGCAAAGGCCGGGGUUCGAUACGAAGCUUUGGUCGUAAGCCCGAAUCUGCAGCGCCGCCGGAAUCUCGCCGGUGAGCUGGUUGGACGAAAGGUUUAAAUAGUUGA